rnacentral:tRNA from 1 species
GGAGAGGUGGCUGAGUGGUUGAAAGCGGCGGUUUGCUAAACCGUUGAAUGUCUAUUUUGGGCGUUCCGGGGGUUCGAAUCCCCCCCUCUCCG